CAGGGCUGGAGAACAGUCUUUAGGAAGUUGCAGUAGGUCAUACGCGAUCAGAACAUGGAACCAAGCAAAAGAAUGAAGAUCGGUGAAGCGACUCCAGAGGAGAUCGAAGGAUUCCUUCAUUCGGUCUCCACUUAAAACCUCCGCUCGAAACACGAAGUACUUUAACGUGGUUUUUCAGAGUGGAAGGGAGGAAUACCACAAUAUUGUGGUGUUUUCGCCGGAGAAGCACGACGCGUUCAGUCAAGCGGUCAAAAAUGGCCAUGCAAUCAGGCUGUGCAAUGUUAAGAAGGCGCUGAGUUUCAAUAGCACGGCAGCGUUUGAUGUACAGUGCAACAGGAACACUGAAAUACGGGUGACCGAAGUUCCGUUCCCAUCCAGAAAGCCAGCAGAACUGCUGCCCUUGAAUGUGGUGAAGGUGAAGGCUUUGGGCCCGCGACAGCAUGUUGGUGUGUUGGAGGCCAAGGUCAUCUCCUUGAAGAUUGGCACAGAAAUGGUUUCUGUACGCAACUCUCAAGCAGAGGUGAAGGAGUGAAGUGGGUGAUGCCACAGGAAGCAUUCCGCUUAAAUUGUGGGACAGUCAAAUUUCGUCUGUGCAGGAGGGCUUGUCCUAUAAGUUCACUAAUCUGUCGACACGGCAGUUUUUGGGAUCCGUCUUUCUGACUACCACGAGAGCUAGUGCAAUUGACAAAAUGGAUGACAUCAGUGGAGUUGUAGCCAAGGAAGAUGGAGAGGGAAGUGCACGUGAGAAUGUGACUAAAUUCUUCAGUGAUGUUGAAGGGGCUCAUAUUGAAGCAAAGCGGCAGUGUCCGAAGUGUUAUACACAGCAGUUGACUUUUGAUAUAAAAGUUCCUUACCAUAGAUGUGAGAAAUGCAAGAUUCUGCGCAGGGGUGGGAGUUAUGUCUCAAAGCUUAGUGGGGAGUUGGUGUUUUGCACUGACAAGGGGGAGCACAGCUUGACCAUUCCAAAUUCCGUUUUAAGAGUUUACUUGGACAGUGAAGGCUCUUGCACUGACAUUUUGGAUGUGCAGGACAUUGAGCAACACUUCAUCAGUGGUGGCUGUUAUGAAGUCGAGCACAACAGGGCAGAUGUUGUAACAAGUAU